UGAAUACGAGAUGCUACGGCGUCGAAGCAGUGUAUGUCAGACUUCCAAGAAAAGCUCGCAAUGUCAUAAAUAAAGAAUGCCUGUACCAUAACCGACACAGGUGGGUAGGUAGAGUAUACUAAGGGGCGCGAGAUAACUCUCUCUAAGGAACUCGGCAAAAUAACUCCGUAACUUCGGGAGAAGGAGUGCCUUCUUUAAGAAGGUUGCAAUAACAAGAUCCAAGCAACUGUUUAUCAAAAACACAGGUCUCCGCUAAGUCGUAAGACGAUGUAUGGGGGCUGACGCCUGCCCAGUGCCAGAAGGUUAAAGAAGUUGGUUAGCUUUUGCGAAGCUGAUGACUGAAGCCCUGGUGAACGGCGGCCGUAACUAUAACGGUCCUAAGGUAGCGAAAUUCCUUGUCGGGUAAGUUCCGACCCGCACGAAAGGCGUAAUGAUUUGGAUACUGUCUCGGAGAGGGACUCGGUGAAAUAGACUUGUCUGUGAAGAUGCGGACUACCUGCACCAGGACAGAAAGACCCUAUGAAGCUUUACUGUAACUUGAAAUUGAAAUUGGACUUUAUUUGCGCAGUAUAGGUGGAAGGCGUUGAAAGUAAUCUUGCGGGAUUAGUGGAGCCAUCAGUGAGAUACCACUCCUAUAAUGUUAGAUUUCUAACUUUGGAUCAUGAUCUGGUCAAAGAACAGUUUCAGGCGGGCAGUUUGACUGGGGCGGUCGCCUCCCAAAUGGUAACGGAGGCGUACAAAGGUUUCCUCUGAACGGGUAGAAAUCGUAUCUAGAGUGUAAAGGCAUAAGGAAGCUUGACUGUGAGACCUACAAGUCGAGCAGGGUCGAAAGUCGGUCUUAGUGAUCUGACGGUGCUGAGUGGAAAGGCCGUCACUCAACGGAUAAAAGUUACUCUAAGGAUAACAGUCUGAUCUCCCCCAAGAGUUCACAUCGACGGGGAGGUUUGGCACCUCGAUGUCGGCUCAUCGCAUCCUGGGGCGGUAGUACGUCCCAAGGGUUGGGCUGUUCGCCCAUGAAAGCGGUACGCGAGCUGGGUUCAGAACGUCGUGAGACAGUUCGGUCCAUAUCCGGUGUAGGCGUUAGAAUAUUGAGAGGAGCCUUCUUUAGUACGAGAGGACCGAGAAGGACAUACCUCUGGUGUACCAGUUAUCGUGCCAACGGUAAACGCUGGGUAGCUAUGUAUGGAGAGGAUAACCGCUGAAAGCAUCUAAGUGGGAAGCCCACCUCAAGAUGAG
rnacentral:rRNA from 1 species